UCCCUGGUAGUCCAGUGGUUAGGGCUCUGUGCUCUUACUGCCGAGGACCCAGGUUUGAUCCCUGGUUGGGGAA